rnacentral:rRNA from 1 species
CCUAGGGGAGGCAGCAGUAGGGAAUAUUGGGCAAUGGGCGCAAGCCUGACCCAGCGACGCCGCGUGAGGGAUGAAGGCCUUCGGGUUGUAAACCGCUUUCAGUAGGGAAGAAGCGAAAGUGACGGUACCUACAAAAGAAGCACCGGCUAACUAUGUGCCAGCAGCCGCGG